rnacentral:rRNA from 1 species
UACGUAGGGUGCGAGCGUUAAUCGGAAUUACUGGGCGUAAAGCGUGCGCAGGCGGCUUUGCAAGACAGAUGUGAAAUCCCCGGGCUCAACCUGGGAACUGCAUUUGUGACUGCAAGGCUAGAGUACGGCAGAGGGGGAUGGAAUUCCGCGUGUAGCAGUGAAAUGCGUAGAUAUGCGGAGGAACACCAAUGUCGAAGGCAAUCCCCUGGGCCUGUACUGACGCUCAUGCACGAAAGCGUGGGGAGCAAACAGG